UGUUAAAUUUACAGAAUUACCUAUCAGCAUAGUUUAUUUAGCUAAGUAAAGUUGGCCUGCACUGGUUUAUAAACCAGUAGUCACGUGAAAGAUUUCACCCAUUUUGUAAAUUCAUCCACUUACGUAAAUGCUGGAUCAAGAUUGAGUAAACAGUAUCAUAAUGGCCAGCUCUUCCAGUUCCAAAUCGGAGUUUAUUGUUGGCGGUAAAUACAGAUUGGUUAGGAAGAUUGGAAGUGGAUCCUUUGGUGAUAUUUAUUUGGGAAUCAAUGUUACAAAUGGAGAGGAAGUUGCUGUUAAGUUAGAAUCACAGAAAGCAAGACACCCACAACUUCUUUAUGAAAGUAAACUCUAUAAAAUUUUGGCUGGUGGAGUAGGCAUACCACACAUCAGGUGGUAUGGGCAUGAAAAAGAUUACAAUGUUCUGGUUAUGGAUUUACUUGGUCCAAGUCUUGAAGAUUUGUUCAAUUUUUGCUCAAGGAGAUUCACAAUGAAGACUGUUUUAAUGCUCGCUGACCAGAUGAUCAGUCGAAUUGAAUAUGUUCACAACAAGAAUUUCAUUCACAGAGACAUCAAACCAGAUAAUUUCUUGAUGGGAAUUGGACGACAUUGUAACAAGCUUUUUAUCAUUGACUUUGGCCUGGCAAAGAAAUUCCGGGACAACCGUUCGAGACAACAUAUCCCCUAUCGAGAAGAUAAAAAUUUGACUGGAACUGCAAGAUAUGCAAGUAUUAAUGCUCAUCUUGGCAUUGAACAGAGUCGUCGUGAUGACAUGGAAUCACUUGGAUAUGUUUUGAUGUAUUUCAACCGAAGUAGCCUACCAUGGCAAGGUCUCAAAGCUGCAACAAAGAAACAAAAAUAUGAAAAAAUCAGUGAGAAGAAAAUGUCUACUCCAGUGGAAGUCCUCUGCAGGGGAUAUCCAGCAGAGUUUGCUAUGUACUUAAACUACUGUCGUGGUCUUCGUUUUGAGGAAGCACCAGAUUAUAUGUAUCUCAGACAACUUUUCCGUAUCCUAUUCAGGACUCUUAAUCACCAGUAUGAUUAUGUAUUCGAUUGGACAAUGUUGAAACAGAAAGCAGCUGCAGCUGCAAGUGCAACAUCAUCAUCUGCUAACAAUCCAUCAAGUGCAGCUAAGCAACUCGAGAAGACUAAGAGUAAAGCACCAAGCAAACACUAGCUACACUUACUAACAAGGACAAUUCGGGAGUUUACUAGAUUCAGACAGAUCUUGUUUCCACCCCCAAUUUCAGCAGAUUCAUCAUCCAUGCUGUUAUUUUAUGAAACUUUUGCCGUCUCCUUAUUGUACAAAAUGUGUUUUAUGAAUUUUUACUUUUUCUAGCUUUCGUUAUAUCUUUUUUUCUUUCACUAAUUGUAUUAUUCCUUUCCAUCAAUACCCCCCA